rnacentral:rRNA from 1 species
AUCAGGAAGAAAGCUUGCUUUCUUUGCUGGCGACCGGCGCACGGGUGAGUAACACGUAUCCAACCUGCCCUUUACUCGGGGAUAGCCUUUCGAAAGAAAGAUUAAUACCUGAUGGUAUGAUGAGAUUGCAUGAUAGCAUCAUUAAAGAUUUAUCGGUGUACGAUGGGGAUGCGUUCCAUUAGGCAGUUGGUGGGGUAACGGCCCACCAAACCUUCGAUGGAUAGGGGUUCUGAGAGGAAGGUCCCCACAUUGGAACUGAGACACGGUCCAAACUCC